UACGUAGGGUGCAAGCGUUAAUCGGAAUUACUGGGCGUAAAGCGUGCGCAGGCGGUUUGAAAAGUCAGCUGUGAAAGCCCCGGGCUCAACCUGGGAACUGCGGUUGAAACUCUCAAGCUAGAGUGCGUCAGAGGGGGGUGGAAUUCCACGUGUAGCAGUGAAAUGCGUAGAGAUGUGGAGGAACACCAAUGGCGAAGGCAGCCCCCUGGGAUGACACUGACGCUCAUGCACGAAAGCGUGGGGAGCAAACAGGAUUAGAUACCCUGGUAGUCCACGCCCUAAACGAUGUCGACUAGCCGUUGGAGAUUUCGGUUUCUGGUGGCGCAGCUAACGCGUGAAGUCGACCGCCUGGGGAGUACGGUCGCAAGAUUAAA
rnacentral:rRNA from 1 species